rnacentral:lncRNA from 1 species
AUCACAGAUCCAUUACCAAUUAAGUGGUCUAUUUUCCCCUCAGGGUGCUCAAAGAAGUCUGCCACAUCCAAGUGGGUGAUGUCAAAAUUGUCUUCAGAGACAGAAUUGGUUUCAGGGCAUUUACCUUUUAGAGAUGCUUGAUAAAGCUCAACCAUAUGUCUUGGUACACGGCAAAUAUUUGCCCAGUGCCCUUUUCCACCGCAA